rnacentral:hammerhead_ribozyme from 1 species
AUCCAGCCCACGAGUCCUAAAUAGGACGAAACGCGCAUCCUGAAU